AUUGAACGCUGGCGGCAGGCCUAACACAUGCGAGUCGAGCGGAUGAAGGGAGCUUGCUCCUGGAUUCAGCGGCGGACGGGUGAGUAAUGCCUAGGAAUCUGCCUGGUAGUGGGGGAUAACGUCCGGAAACGGGCGCUAAUACCGCAUACGUCCUGAGGGAGAAAGUGGGGGAUCUUCGGACCUCACGCUAUCAGAUGAGCCUAGGUCGGAUUAGCUAGUUGGUGGGGUAAAGGCCUACCAAGGCGACGAUCCGUAACUGGUCUGAGAGGAUGAUCAGUCACACUGGAACUGAGACACGGUCCAGACUCCUACGGGAGGCAGCAGUGGGGAAUAUUGGACAAUGGGCGAAAGUCUGAUCCAGCCAUGCCGCGUGUGUGAAGAAGGUCUUCGGAUUGUAAAGCACUUUAAGUUGGGAGGAAGGGCAGUAAGUUAAUACCUUGCUGUUUUGACGUUACCAACAGAAUAAGCACCGGCUAACUUCGUG
rnacentral:rRNA from 1 species